rnacentral:rRNA from 1 species
GAAAGCAUUUGCCAAGGACGUUUUCAUUAAUCACGAACGAAAGUUAGGGGAUCGAAGAUGAUCAGAUACCGUCGUAGUCUUAACCAUAAACUAUGCCGACUAGGGAUCGGGUGUUGUCCUUUUUUUGGCGCACUCGGCACCUUACGAGAAAUCAAAGUUUUUGGGUUCUGGGGGGAGUAUGGUCGCAAGGCUGAAACUUAAAGGAAUUGACGGAAGGGCACCACCAGGAGUGGAGCCUGCGGCUUAAUUUGACUCAACACGGGGAAACUCACCAGGUCCAGACACAAUAAGGAUUGACAGAUUGAGAGCUCUUUCUUGAUUUUGUGGGUGGUGGUGCAUGGCCGUUCUUAGUUGGUGGAGUGAUUUGUCUGCUUAAUUGCGAUAACGAACGAGACCUUAACCUACUAAAUAGUGCUGCUAGCAUUUGCUGGUACCACACUUCUUAGAGGGACUACCGAUUUCAAGUCGGUGGAAGUUUGAGGCAAUAACAGGUCUGUGAUGCCCUUAGACGUUCUGGGCCGCACGCGCGCUACCUUGACGGAGCCACUGAGUAUUACCCUUGGCCGAGAGGUCCGGGCAAACCUUGCNNAACU